GGGGAAAAAAGCAGAGGCCAGGGCGCCGGUCAUGUGCCAACCAAGGAUGUACAGAAAGCUGAAAGAGGACAUGCUAAGGAAAAUUUUAUUUGGAGAGAAGCAAGCAUCUCUGCCUCUUUGGAGGAGGAAAUUCAGACUUGAAAAAGGUAGGAUUUUCUUCCUCUUUCUUUCAACUUGUGAAAAAAAUUAAAGUGUAAUUUUUAAAAUUGUACACUUUGUUAAAAAUUUAAGAUAGUUUCUUUUUAGUUUUGUAGAUAUUUUUAAAUUAGGGAUGAAGGCUGUAGAUAGUAUAUCUGAAUUUUAAACAGUGUUUUAAAUAUGAUUUUCAGAAACUUAGACUAAACUUUUCUCAUCUUAAUUUUCAAAGCUAUUUUGUGAAGAAUUACAUUGCAAACUAAAGUGAAAGGAGUUAUGUCUUGGAACUUCACAAACUUUUACAUUUUAUACUUUAGGCACUGAUUAUAAAUGAAGGUGGUGGGAUGAUGGUAGACAGGAUUUACGCCAUGGCAUUUGAACUGUAUGAUUGAAUGGGAAAGGGAAACCAGUUAUCUCAUUAUGCAUUAAAAUAGGCACUAAAGUGUAAAUGUGUGGUUUAAUAAUGACACCUGUGUAAUAACUACCCAGGCUAAGAAAUAGAAAACUACCAGCAUGCUAGGAAAUAUACGCAUAUUGCUUCUAAGUAACAGCCCUUCUCCUCCACACAGGUGACCACUAUCUUUACCUGUAUACUAAAAUUCCUUUUUUCAUACCAGUGGUUCUCAAAGUGUGGUCUGGC
ensembl:lncRNA